rnacentral:rRNA from 1 species
AUUGAACGCUGGCGGCAGGCCUAACACAUGCAAGUCGAACGAGUGGCGGACGGGUGAGUAAUGUCUGGGAAACUGCCUGAUGGAGGGGGAUAACUACUGGAAACGGUUGCUAAUACCGCUCACCAUCAGAUGGGCCCAUAUGGGAUGAGCUUGUUGGUGGGGUAACGGCUCAACAAGGCGAAGAUCCCUAGCUGGUCUGAGAGGAUGACCAGCCAUGCUGGAACUGAGACACGGUCCAGACUCCUACGGGAGGCAGCAGUGGGGAAGAUUGCACAAUGGGCGCAAGCCUGAUGCAGCCAUGCCGCGUGUAUGAAGAAGGCCUUCGGGUUGUAAAGUACUUUCAGCGGGGAGGCGUUACCCGCAGAAGAAGCACCGGCUAACUCCGUGCCAGCAGCCGCGGUAAUUC